UUGAAUUGGUUCAUUUGAAAGUAGACAUUUCACUCUAUAGAUAUAUUUUUAAUGUCUGUAAGGAAAGUUUACACAGAGUUUCGUGCUCGAGUUCACAGAGACCGAGAUGGCAGAAAGUGCAUCCUGUUUGCUUUCAUUAUUUUACAAAAGCGCAAUGUUUUCUUGUUAUUGUGAGUGCACACAAAUAAACAUAGAGUUUUUACAGAUUUGAAAGAUGUAUUACUCUCAUCUGUAUGAGUAAAGAUGAGGGAGUAUUUUAAGUGCACCGGCGCCUCCAUCUGUCCUGCAGUGAUCUACUGUUCAGCUCCACUCUCCUCCAGACACUGAACAGCGCACACUUCUCAGGUUAACGUUAGAUUGAGCAGCCAUGUGAAGUUGCUGCUACUUACAUAUUUGUGGUGGAUGAAUGAUAGGCGAGCGUUUGGAUGUCCUGCCUGAUGUACUGUACUAGCACCGAUCUGCGUGACUUUUUAUUUAUUUAUUUCUGCGACUAAGCGGUUAAUACAAUUUUGGUUGACCAAGCCUCUUCUGGUCGACUAACGGUUAGCAGACUAUUAGGGGGCAGCCGUAAUGUUUAUAUAGAAAUAAUGAAGAUUUCUGUGUCACCCCAGACUGGUUGCUGGCCACCUCUAUGAAAUCAUCCUGGCUCUGACACUGCGUUCGCUCAGAAUUCAGAAAGCUCUACAAAAGGGCUGACACCUGUUAUAGUGCUCCAGAUAGGGAGCGGUUUCAGACACAGCUUCAGUCCGCAGCUUUGACUGAGUGUGUGUGCGUGUGUGUGUGUGUGUUUCAGGACAGUGAGGUCAGUGUGACGGUUCCUCCUGAAGAAAGAACAGAACCUGAACUACAGGAUUUGGCCCUGUCCAGGGAUCACAGUCCAGAGGCGUCUUCAGAGGACUCGUUGUGUGGACGUCACCUCCGUUCCACAGCAGCUUCACGACCUCUGACCCCCGAUGCUGCGGUGUCCAGCAGCCGAGAGGAAGACGAGCAGAUGAAUGAAAUAGGGCAGGAGGAGAAACAGUCAGAUGAAGAGGAGAAUGGACAGAUCAGAAAUGAAGAGACCGAGAACGAUGAGGAGAUCGAAGAGCAGAUGGAGAGAUCCAGCAGUCCUGAGGAGAAACAGGAGGAGCGGACGGAGGAGAGAACUGAAGAAGAGAGUAAAGAUGAAGAAAACAGAGAAGAUGAGAAAGGACAGAACAGAGAGAGCGAGGAGGACGAUGAACAGAUCGAGAGAUUCAACAGUCCUGAGGAGAGGAACCAGACGGAAGAGAAAAAAGAAGAAGAGAGAGAUCAGACUGAGAGUAAAGAUGAAGAAGAGACAGAGAACCAAAAACACAGACAAGAAGAAACUGAUAAAGUUGAUGAACAGAUUGAGAGAUUCAACAGUCCUGAAGAGAGAGAGAAGACAACAGAAGAAGAAAAAAAGAAAGGAAACAUAGAAGAGAACAGACAGAUCAGAGAUGAAGAGAUGCAGAACACAGAGAGUGAGGAGAUUGAGGAACAGAUCGAGAGAUUCAAGAGUCCUGAGGAGGAGGAGAAGAACACGACGGAGGAGAGAACAGAAGGAGGAGAUCCGACAGAGAGCAGAGAUGAAGGAAACAUGGAAGAAGAGAUGAUUGAAAGAAAAGAACAGGCUGAAACACACAGAAACACACAGAGGCUUUCAGAGCAUCAGGAGAGUGAGGCAGAGGAGGAUAAACAUGAGGAAGAGCAGAGAGAGACUGAAGGACUCGUCUCGGAGGCUCAGAGCGACGCCUUUCAGAGUAACAGCUCUCGCCUUCAAGUAACUCGUGUUAAAGCAGGGAAGUUUGUGCCUCAGUGGAAUCCAGUGUCCAGUGAGGAGUCUGAGGACAGUGAAGCAGCAGCGUCGCUCUCAUCUGCUCAUAAUGUGCAGGCUGGUUUCCACUCCAGACUCUCAGAGAAUGUGUUUGAUCUGCUGGAUCUGUCACCUGCAGUGGACAGGAAGGAAGUCGAGGGCGAGGCAGAUAUGGACAGCUGUGUGGAUGUCUCUGACUCUGCAGACAGGCAUGUGUUGCGUGAUGAAGAAGAGAAGAAGAGACAAUUAGAGAGAGAGGAAGAGGAGAAGAAGAGACAAGAAAGGGAGGAAGAGGAGAAGAGAAAGUGUGAGGAAGAGGAGAAGAGACACGUAGAGAGAGAGGAAGAGGAGAAGAAGAGACGAUUAGAGCGAGAGGAAGAGGAGAAGCGUAAGCGUGAUGAAGAGGAGAAGAGACGAUUAGAGAGAGAGGAAGAGGAGAAGAGACAAUUAGAGAGAGAGGAAGAGGAGAAGAAGAGACAAGAGAGGGAGGAAGAGGAGAAGAAGAGACGAUUAGAGCGAGAGGAAGAGGAGAAGCGUAAGCGUGAUGAAGAGGAGAAGAGACAAUUAGAGAGGGAGGAAGAGGAGAAGAGAAAAUGUGAGGAAGAGGAGAAAAAGAGACAAGAAGAGAGGGAGGAAGAGGAGAAGAGAAAGCGUGAGGAAGAGAAGAGGAAGAGACAAGUAGAGAGAGAGGAGAGGAAGAGGCUGGAGGACGCAGAGAGACAGAUGGAGGAGGAGAGGAGCAGACUGAUGGAGGACACACAGAGGAGACUGCAGCUGCUCAGAGACGCUCUGAUGAAGGACGAGGAGCGCCGGAUGAAGGAGGAGAGCGCUGAGCAGCUCAGGUCAGUCACUGCUGCAUUGUGGGUAGUACUGAUGGUCAGGACACUGUAUGAACCCUCAUCGUCUCAGUCACACGGGUCACAUGAUGUGUGUGUUUCAGAGUCCUGAAGGAGCAGAUGCUCAAACAGAGACGAGACGAGGAGGAGAGACUGAACAACGACAUGCACACACAACUACAACAGCUCAGGUACACACACACACACACACACACACACACACACACUGCAUCACCAUCGGUGCAUUCACACACACACAUUCAUACCGUGUGUGUGUUCAGGCUUGAGAAUGAGGUGAAGCUGCAGAAGCUGUGCUCAGAGCUGGAGGCGGAGCAGGAGAGGGCGGAGACUCAGAGGAGGCGGGACCUCGAGCGCCUGAGGGAGGAGUCAGAGGAGGAGCUCCGGGCAGAGAGGAGGCGGCUACAAGAGAAGAAGGAGGAGCAGCUGACCUCCAUCAGACUACAGGUGUGUGUGUAUGUGUGUGUGUGUGUGUGUGUGUGUGUGAGAGAGUGAGCUGUAAGUGUGUAUAUAACGUCGGUUUCACACUGCAAGCGUGAGCAGUGCGUAUUUCUGUCGGCGUGCAUGUUAAUCAGUUAAUAAGAGUGCAUUCACACCGGCAGCAGCAGCAGCGCGUGAGCAGCAGUGCCAGGUCUAUAUUUGCUGUGCUGCUGACGCUUAAUUAAAGUGACAGCACACUUUUGAUGAGCAAAAUAAACAUGAUUUCACACAAAACCUGCUAAAAUGC
ensembl:lncRNA